UACAGAGGUCUCAAGCGUUGUUCGGAUUCAUUGGGCGUAAAGGGUGCGUAGGUGGCGAAGUAAGUCGGGUGUGAAAUCUCGGGGCUUAACCCCGAAACUGCAUUCGAUACUGCUUUGCUCGAGGACUGGAGAGGAGAUUGGAAUUCAUGGUGUAGCAGUGAAAUGCGUAGAUAUCAUGAGGAAGACCAGUGGCGAAGGCGGAUCUCUGGACAGUUCCUGACACUGAGGCACGAAGGCCAGGGGAGCAAACGGG
rnacentral:rRNA from 1 species